UACGUAGGUGGCAAGCGUUGUCCGGAUUUACUGGGCGUAAAGGGCGUGCAGGCGGUCGUUCAAGUCGAGUGUGAAAGCCCCCGGCUCAACUGGGGAGGGUCACUCGAUACUGAUCGACUCGAAGGCAGAAGAGGGAAGCGGAAUUCCCGGUGUAGUGGUGAAAUGCGUAGAUAUCGAGAGGAACACCUGCGGCGAAGGCGGGUGCUGGGCUGACACUGACGCUGAAGUGCGAAAGCUAGGGGAGCGAACGGG
rnacentral:rRNA from 1 species